rnacentral:rRNA from 1 species
CCUACGGGAGGCUGCAGUGAGGAAUAUUGGUCAAUGGCCGAGAGGCUGAACCAGCCAAGUCGCGUGAGGGAAGAAUGUCCUAUGGAUUGUAAACCUCUUUUGUCAGGGAGCAAAGUCACCCACGUGUGGGUGUUGGAGAGUACCUGAAGAAAAAGCAUCGGCUAACUCCGUGCCAGCAGCCGCGGUAAUACGGGGGAUGCGAGCGUUAUCAGGAUUUAUUGGGUUUAAAGGGUGCGUAGGCGGGUUAUCAAGUCAGCGGUAAAAUCGUGGAGCUCACCUCCAUACAGCCGUUGAAACUGAUGGUCUUGAGUGGGCGAGAGGUAGGCGGAAUGCGUGGUGUAGCGGUGAAAUGCAUAGAUAUCACGCAGAACUCCGAUUGCGAAGGCAGCAUACCGGCGCCCGACUGACGCUGAUGCACGAAAGCGUGGGUAUCGAACAGGAUUAGAUACCCUUGUAGUC